AAGGUCUGAGACACUCUUGUAGAAGAAGAAGUGUAUUUGGUUCAUGAUUUAAAGUAUCCAUCUCUUAAAACUCAGUCCUCAGAAGUUGAAAUCACCAUGUUUUACAGCACUGAUGUUUGGGAUUCAAGACCCAGAUUACCCACACCUGCUUACAUGAGACAAUCUCCUACCUCACUGAAGAAAUCGAGGUCAUCCGGUGAGAAUUCCUCCAACUUUCCUCCAACAUAAUCAUCCUUGUCAAACCUCAUUCUUACUGAGGUUGCUCUGUUGUGAAAGGGACAAUCCUUUCGCAAGGUGAAACCCCUGUGUCCUUAAUCACAUUCCCUUGCCCUCUCCUCCAACACCAUAAAUCAUCCCCUUACAGUCUUAGUCCUCUCCCUCUCCACUGGUUCUUUUCCAUUUGUCCUCAAAUAGGAUCAAAUAUAUUGCAUCCCUCAAAUAAACAAGCAAGCAAAAUAAAAUCUUUUUCAUAACCACAUUACCUUAUUUCUGAAUAUGCUCUUCUCCCUCUCUUUGCCCCUACAGUCAGCCUGCCCUCAUUGCCAAGCAGAUUCUGUCCUCACCAUUCUGCUAAGAAUCUUCUGGUGGUUUCCCUCCUCCAUGACAUUCUUCUGGGCUUCGUCUGAUAAGACUCUCUACAGGGUUGAAUAUUGUUUCCUCUUCCUACCCUUACUUGAAACUUUCAUGUCCCAGCCUUGCAGGUUCCUAUUCUUGUUCAGGAUUAUUUUCCCCUAGGUCUCUUCUACUGGCUCUGCUUCCUUUGCCCAUCCCCAGUCCUCUUCUCUGUAUACUCUUUCUAGAUGGUCCCACCCUCUUCACUGGCUUUAACCAUCAUCCUGAUACCAGUGACUUCAAGUCCUAUUGCUGAAACUUAACUCCCUAAGCUUUACCAGUUGCUCAUUGGACAAUUUCGCCUGGUAUUCCAUAGGCCAGCAUUCCAAAAUAUAAGUUAUAAGGAGAGAUGGGAUAUUUGCAAGGUGUCAAAAUAUCACCCCACAAACAACUUGAUAAUUGCAAAGAGGAAAAUGUAUCUUCAAAAUGAAAAUAUGUGAUGGCCACUACCUUAACCAAGUGAUCAAAUAUACUAUCACUAAUUGUGGACAAUCUGCCAUUUGAUACCUGCUGAGGGGAUAAAUAGAAAGUAUGUGGCAAUACCUGUAAGUUAUUCUUGCCAAUGAUGUUUAACCUGAAUGUAAUCAAGUCUUUUAGACCUAACUUGCUGUUUGUAUAAAACACAAGGGAGAGAGUAAAAAGCUAAAGGAUACCACAAAGCAACAAUCAGGCAAAUCCAGAUUGUGUGAUCUCUAUAGGUUGAUUGGCCUGGUCUCUUCAAAAAGACAAUAAGAGUCAAUAUCAUUUUUAAAAAUGGAGACUGUUCUGAGAUAAAAGAACUAAAAGAGAUAACAGUCAAAUGCAAUGCAUAAAGCGUGAUUGAAUCUUGCUUUGAAACAACCAGCUAUAAAAGAUAUUUUGGGUAUAAUGUAGAAAAUUUGAAGACAAGCUUUAAAUUAGCUAAUAUUAGAGAAAUAAUGUAAAUUUUCUUAAAUGUUUUAUGGUAUUGUGCUUUUGGAGGAGGAUUUCCUUAUUAUUGGGAGAUGCAUGCUGAAGCAUUUAGGGAUGAACUUUUGUGUUACCUGCAACUUACUUUCAAACGUUCUGCAAAAAUAAACAUCUGCAUGUGUGUAUAACUCAAAUACAGCAAAGCAUCAAUAAUUUUUUAAUUUAGGGGGUAAGUGUGGGAAUGUUGAAUGUACUUUCCUUCAACAUUCUGGCAUGUUUUAAAAUUUUCAUAACAAAAAAGUAGAAAAUAUGAAGGGAAAAUGAAGUAGGCAAAAAACAAAAAAAGUAGAGAAAGAGUAGCCAAAAACUAUAAAUAUAAAUUUAAUACUUUUCUUCUGCCUCCCCCUUCCCUAUUUUUUCUAUUCAUAAUUUACCAAGUAGAUGAAGCUAAAAAUCUUAGCAUCAUCUCUAACUUCUCUUUUCCUCUUCAGAUCUCCUACUUCCUUCCCUCCUAUCAUCUGGUCUUUAUCUCUCCAUAUCUUGAGUCUCUGUACCACCCUCCACCAUUGCUGCCACACUGCCCUCAUGGGUCCUCCAUCAUGAAUCACCUGGACUUCCACCCCCCGGGCUUAAUCU
rnacentral:lncRNA from 10 species